rnacentral:SRP_RNA from 1 species
UAUAUAAGCUACUACAAUGGUAUCUACUGAAUCAGGUCAGAUUGGGAACAAAGCAGCCUUAAGGGAGCUCUAUCAUGUGUAGUAGCUUUUAUUAUACC